ACUCCUGCGGGAGGCAGCAGUGGGGAAUUUUGGACAAUGGGCGAAAGCCUGAUCCAGCCAUGCCGCGUGCAGGAUGAAGGCCUUCGGGUUGUAAACUGCUUUUGUACGGAACGAAACGGCCUUUUCUAAUAAAGAGGGCUAAUGACGGUACCGUAAGAAUAAGCACCGGCUAACUACGUGCCAGCAGCCGCGGUAAUACGUAGGGUGCAAGCGUUAAUCGGAAUUACUGGGCGUAAAGCGUGCGCAGGCGGUUAUGUAAGACAGUUGUGAAAUCCCCGGGCUCAACCUGGGAACUGCAUCUGUGACUGCAUAGCUAGAGUACGGUAGAGGGGGAUGGAAUUCCGCGUGUAGCAGUGAAAUGCGUAGAUAUGCGGAGGAACACCGAUGGCGAAGGCAAUCCCCUGGACCUGUACUGACGCUCAUGCACGAAAGCGUGGGGAGCAAACAGGAUUAGAAACCCCAGUAGUCCCAUG
rnacentral:rRNA from 1 species